rnacentral:rRNA from 1 species
AUUGAACGCUGGCGGCAGGCCUAACACAUGCAAGUCGAGCGGAUGAAGAGAGCUUGCUCUCUGAUUCAGCGGCGGACGGGUGAGUAAUGCCUAGGAAUCUGCCUGGUAGUGGGGGACAACGUUUCGAAAGGAACGCUAAUACCGCAUACGUCCUACGGGAGAAAGUGGGGGAUCUUCGGACCUCACGCUAUCAGAUGAGCCUAGGUACGAUUAGCUAGUUGGUGAGGUAAAGGCUCACCAAGGCGACGAUCGUUAACUGGUCUGAGAGGAUGAUCAGUCACACUGGAACUGAGACACGGUCCAGACUCCUACGGGAGGCAGCAGUGGGGAAUAUUGGACAAUGGGCGAAAGCCUGAUCCAGCCAUGCCGCGUGUGUGAAGAAGGUCUUCGGAUUGUAAAGCACUUUAAGUUGGGAGGAAGGGCAGUAAGUUAAUACCUUGCUGUUUUGACGUUGCCGACAGAAUAAGCACCGGCUAACUUCGUGCCAGCAGCCGCAGUAAGAC